UACAGAGGGGGCGAGCGUUGUUCGGAAUCACUGGGUGUAAAGGGUGCGUAGGCGGUCGGUUAAGUCUGAUGUGAAAGCCCUCGGCUCAACUGGGGAACUGCAUUGGAAACUAGCUGACUGGAGUACCGGAGAGGGAAGCGGAAUUCCUGGUGUAGCGGUGAAAUGCGUAGAUACCAGGAGGAACACCGGUGGCGAAGGCGGCUUCCUGGCCGAGUACUGACGCUGAGGCACGAAAGCGUGGGGAGCGAACGGG
rnacentral:rRNA from 1 species